CCAGCUCAACCUGUAGAAUUGCCAUUGAUACUGUUAGUCUUGAAUUGUUAUGAAGUAGCUAGAAUAUGUAGUGUAGCGGUGAAAUGCAUAGAUAUUACAUAGAAUACCAAUUGCGAAGGCAGGCUACUAAUAAUUGAUUGACACUGAUGGACGAAAGCGUGGGGAGCGAACAGGAUUAGAUACCCUGGUAGUCCACGCCGUAAACGAUGGUUACUAGCUGUCCGGCUCGAUUGAGAGCUGGGUGGCCAAGCGAAAGUGAUAAGUAACCCACCUGGGGAGUACGUUCGCAAGAAUGAAACUCAAAGGAAUUGACGGGGGCCCGCACAAGCGGUGGAGCAUGUGGUUUAAUUCGAUGAUACGCGAGGAACCUUACCAGGGCUUAAAUGUAGUCUGACAGAUUUGGAAACAGAUUUUUCUUCGGACAGAUUACAAGGUGCUGCAUGGUUGUCGUCAGCUCGUGCCGUGAGGUGUCAGGUUAAGUCCUAUAACGAGCGCAACCCCUGUUGUUAGUUGCCAUCGAGUAAUGUCGGGAACUCUAACAAGACUGCCAGUGCAAACUGUGAGGAAGGUGGGGAUGACGUCAAAUCAUCACGGCCCUUACGUCCUGGGCCACACACGUGCUACAAUGGUAGGUACAGAGAGCAGCCACGUCGCAAGGCGGAGCGAAUCUAUAAAACCUAUCACAGUUCGGAUCGGGGUCUGCAACUCGACCCCGUGAAGCUGGAAUCGCUAGUAAUCGCAUAUCAGCCAUGAUGCGGUGAAUACGUUCCCGGGCCUUGUACACACCGCCCGUCAAGCCAUGGAAGCUGGGGGUACCUGAAGUCCGUCACCGCAAGGAGCGGCCUAGGGUAAAACCGGUAACUGGGGCUAAGUCGUAACAAGGUA
rnacentral:rRNA from 1 species